rnacentral:tRNA from 83 species
CGGGAAGUAGCUCAGCCUGGUGGAGCGCCUGCUUUGGGAGCAGGAUGUCGCAGGUUCGAAUCCUGUCUUCCCGACCA